UCAGGACGAACGCUGGCGGCGUGCUUCAUACAUGCAAGUCGAACGAUAAGGCGUCUUCGGACGUACAUAAGUGGCGGACGGGUGAGUAAAAUGUAGAGAAUCUGCCCUAGAGAGAGGGACAACAGAGGGAAACUUCUGCUAAUACCUCAUAUGCGCGUAGUUGAGAUACUAUUCGUGAAAACUCCGGUGCUCUAGGAUGAGUCUGCAUCUGAUUAGCUAGUUGGGGGUGUAAUGGACCACCAAGGCGACGAUCAGUAGCUGGUUUGAGAGGAUGAUCAGCCACAAUGGGACUGAGACACGGCCCAUACUCCUACGGGAGGCAGCAGUAGGGAAUUUUGCGCAAUGGGCGAAAGCCUGAACCGCAGCAACGCCGCGUGAUUGAAGAAGCCCUUCGGGGUGUAAAGAUCUGUCAGUGGGGACGAAUUUUGACGGUACCCCACAGAGGAAGCAUCGGCUAACUACGUGCCAGCAGCCGC
rnacentral:rRNA from 1 species